CUGCAUUCCAUAUAUUAACUACCUAUUAUGUAAAAUAGCUCUUAUAUUUAUUUGUGUAAAGGCUGUCAAGUAUCCUGAAAGUUGCUGAAGAAAUUAAUCUCACCGGCAUUUUAGGAGCUCUGAACAUUUGCUGUCUCUGGGUUCAAGGGACCACCAGAAUUUCUAAGCAAGGAAGAACAUGCCAAAUGAAGGUAAGUUGCAAAAAGAGGUAUUUCCUUUGCCUUGAAUACAGGGGUGCUAUUCAUGGCCCUAAAUCUUACCAAUACAGAGACCAUAAACAGUUGGAUUCUGGAAGUCCUUCAUCAAGAAAUGAAUCAAUAUUUUUGGAGUACUGGCUACAUGCAACACACUAUGUUUAUGAACCUACAAAUCCACAAUUAUGAAUAUCAUUUUUAAAAACUCUGCUUUAUAUAAACAUACAGGUUAAGCAUACAGGUUCUGGCAGCAUACUCUGAGUUUCAUAUCUCCCCCUCUUCACUUACCAGCAAUGUUACCUUGGGCAAUUUACCUCUUUGGGCUUCAGUUUCCUGAUAUGUAGAAUGAGAAAAAUAAUGCUACCUGUCUCACAGGGUUACUGUGAGGAUUGAUUUAGAUUAUCCAGGUAAAACUGUUAGACAAUACCUGGAAACUACUAAGCACCAAAUAAAUGUCAUGAGCUGAAGAGGCAGAGAGAGAGGAUGC
rnacentral:lncRNA from 1 species